GUAUUGCUUCGGCAAUACAUAUACUAAAAUUGGAACGAUACAGAGAUAUUAGCAUGGCCCCUGCACAAGGAUGACACGCAAAUUCGUGAAGCGUUCCAUAUAUUU
rnacentral:snRNA from 1 species